rnacentral:rRNA from 1 species
GACAGAGGGUGCAAACGUUGUUCGGAAUUAUUGGGCGUAAAGCGUGUGUAGGCGGCUAAGUAAGUCGGAUGUGAAAGCCCCGGGCUCAACCCGGGAAGUGCACUCGAUACUGCUUAGCUUGAGUAUCGGAGAGGUUGGUGGAAUUCUCGGUGUAGAGGUGAAAUUCGUAGAUAUCGAGAGGAACACCGGUGGCGAAGGCGGCCAACUGGACAGUGACUGACGCUGAGAUGCGAAAGCGUGGGGAGCAAACAGG